UUUAGUGCUAAGGUAGCAUAAUCAUUUGUCUUUUAAAUGAAGACUAGAACAAAAGAUUUAACAUCUUAAUUAUUUUAUCUAUUAAUCUAUUUAAAUUUUUCUUAAAAGUAAAAAGACUUUUAUUAUGUAGAAAGACGACAAGACCCUAUUGAACUUAACUUAAGUUAAACUGGGGCAGUUAAUUAAUUAAUAUUUUAAAAUAAAUUAAUACAAAAAUAUCCAAUCAAUUGAUAAACUAGUUACCAUAGGGAUAACAGCAUAAUUUAACCUUAAAGACCUUAUUCAUAGUUAAGAUUAUGACCUCGAUGUUGAAUUAAUAACCUAAUUAAAGCAAGAUUUAAUAAAGGAAGUCUGUUCGACUUUUAAAAAAUUACAUGAUUUGAGUUCAGACCGGCGUAAGCCAGGUCGGUUUCUAUCUUCUAGAUAAAUUUUUGUAGUACGAAAGGACCUAAAAAUAUUUUUUAUAUAAUUGGCAGAAUAAUGCAUUAGAAUUAGAAUCUAAUUAAACUUUAAUUAAUUUUAUAAUUAAUUACAUUCUAAUUAUUAUUAGAAUUUUAAUCAGAGUAGCAUUCUACACUAUUUUAGAACGAAAA
rnacentral:rRNA from 1 species